rnacentral:tRNA from 2 species
GGGCGAUUAACUCAGGGGUAGAGUGCUACCUUCACACGGUAGAAGUCGCAGGUUCGAAUCCUGCAUCGCCCACCA